rnacentral:rRNA from 1 species
AGAGUUUGAUCCUGGCUCAGGAUGAACGCUGGCGGCGUGCCUAAUACAUGCAAGUCGUACGCUUCACUUCGGUGAAGAGUGGCGAACGGGUGAGUAAUACAUAAGUAACCUGGCAUCUACAGGGGGAUAACUGAUGGAAACGUCAGCUAAGACCGCAUAGGUGUAGAGAUCGCAUGAACUCUAUAUGAAAAGUGCUACGGGACUGGUAGAUGAUGGACUUAUGGCGCAUUAGCUUGUUGGUAGGGUAACGGCCUACCAAGGCGACGAUGCGUAGCCGACCUGAGAGGGUGACCGGCCACACUGGGACUGAGACACGGCCCAGACUCCUACGGGAGGCAGCAGUAGGGAAUUUUCGGCAAUGGGGGAAACCCUGACCGAGCAACGCCGCGUGAAGGAAGAAGUAAUUCGUUAUGUAAACUUCUGUCAUAGAGGAAGAACGGUGGAUAUAGGGAAUGAUAUCCAAGUGACGGUACUCUAUAAGAAAGCCACGGCUAACUACGUGCCAGCAGCCGCGGUAAUACGUAGGUGGCGAGCGUUAUCCGGAAUUAUUGGGCGUAAAGAGGGAGCAGGCGGCACUAAGGGUCUGUGGUGAAAGAUCGAAGCUUAACUUCGGUAAGCCAUGGGAACCGUAGAGCUAGAGUGUGUGAGAGGAUCGUGGAAUUCCAUGUGUAGCGGUGAAAUGCGUAGAUAUAUGGAGGAACACCAGUGGCGAAGGCGACGAUCUGGCGCAUAACUGACGCUCAGUCCCGAAAGCGUGGGGAGCAAAUAGGAUUAGAUACCCUAGUAGUCCACGCCGUAAACGAUGAGUACUAAGUGUUGGGUGUCAAAGCUCAGUGCUGCAGUUAACGCAAUAAGUACUCCGCCUGAGUAGUACGUUCGCAAGAAUGAAACUCAAAGGAAUUGACGGGGGCCCGCACAAGCGGUGGAGCAUGUGGUUUAAUUCGAAGCAACGCGAAGAACCUUACCAGGUCUUGACAUCGAUCUAAAGGCUCCAGAGAUGGAGAGAUAGCUAUAGAGAAGACAGGUGGUGCAUGGUUGUCGUCAGCUCGUGUCGUGAGAUGUUGGGUUAAGUCCCGCAACGAGCGCAACCCUUAUCCUUAGUAGCCAGCAGGUAAAGCUGGGCACUCUAGGGAGACUGCCAGGGAUAACCUGGAGGAAGGUGGGGAUGACGUCAAAUCAUCAUGCCCCUUAUGAUUUGGGCUACACACGUGCUACAAUGGCGUAAACAAAGGGAAGCGACCCUGCGAAGGCAAGCAAAUCCCAAAAAUAACGUCCCAGUUCGGACUGUAGUCUGCAACCCGACUACACGAAGCUGGAAUCGCUAGUAAUCGCGAAUCAGAAUGUCACGGUGAAUACGUUCCCGGGCCUUGCACACACCGCCCGUCAA